GCUCAGGUGGCCUAGUGGUUAGAGCGUCUUCGUCGGAUGCAGGAGGUCGUGGGUUUGAACCCAGGCCGAGUCA